GAUGAACGCUGGCGGCGUGCCUAACACAUGCAAGUCGAGCGAACGGACGAGAAGCUUGCUUCUCUGAUGUUAGCGGCGGACGGGUGAGUAACACGUGGAUAACCUACCUAUAAGACUGGGAUAACUUCGGGAAACCGGAGCUAAUACCGGAUGAUAUUUUGAACCGCAUGGUUCAAAAGUGAAAGACGGUCUUGCUGUCACUUAUAGAUGGAUCCGCGCUGCAUUAGCUAGUUGGUAAGGUAACGGCUUACCAAGGCAACGAUGCAUAGCCGACCUGAGAGGGUGAUCGGCCACACUGGAACUGAGACACGGUCCAGACUCCUACGGGAGGCAGCAGUAGGGAAUCUUCCGCAAUGGGCGAAAGCCUGACGGAGCAACGCCGCGUGAGUGAUGAAGGUCUUCGGAUCGUAAAACUCUGUUAUUAGGGAAGAACAGAUGUGUAAGUAACUGUGCACAUCUUGACGGUACCUAAUCAGAAAGCCACGGCUAACUACGUG
rnacentral:rRNA from 1 species